CCGUUUUAUUGAGAUUUACUGUAAACAUAUAUAGGGGUAGUUCACCCCCUUAACUUCAUUUGCGGUAAAAACGCAAAAACCCGUAUCUACUACUUUUUUGCCCUCUUCAAAAUGCAAUUGAAACCAUCGAGAUAGGUGCUAUAGUUUUUUUGUUAUAACGAUUUUGUGAAUUUCAACCCCUAUAACUUUUUUCCUGUGCAACCCCCCGAUAUGAAACCAGUUGCAUUUUCCAUCGUUUAUCAUUAAGUUGAUGAUCCAUUUGGGUGCAUUCGCUUAUCUCGAGUGAAAAUAGGCGAAACCUGAAAACUACCCUCGGAGGUCUCAACUUUAGGGGAUAUUUUCACCCCUUAGAAACGUUUUUCCGCCGAUAAAAAAAAAUACGUGUCUCUUAGAUUUUGAUGUAGAAUAACAUAUUUCAAUUUAAUUGAAAUCGAAGGGGGUCAGCGGAAAGACCUUCCUUGUAAAUAGGAAUUCGACUGAAUGCA